GGCCUAACACAUGCAAGUCGAACGAUAGUUGAGAGCUUGCUCUUGACGAAAGUGGCGCACGGGUGCGUAACGCGUAUGCAACCUACCUUAAUCAGGGGGAUAGCCCGAAGAAAUUCGGAUUAACACCGCAUAAAAACACAGGAUAGCAUUAUCCAAUGUUCAAAUAUUUAUAGGAUUAAGAUGGGCAUGCGUGUCAUUAGCUAGUUGGCGGGGUAACGGCCCACCAAGGCGACGAUGACUAGGGGAUCUGAGAGGAUGACCCCCCACACUGGUACUGAGACACGGACCAGACUCCUACGGGAGGCAGCAGUAAGGAAUAUUGGUCAAUGGAGGCAACUCUGAACCAGCCAUGCCGCGUGCAGGAAGACAGCCCUCUGGGUCGUAAACUGCUUUUAUUCGGGAAUAAACCUGCUUACGUGUAAGUAGCUGAAUGUACCGAAGGAAUAAGGA
rnacentral:rRNA from 1 species